CCUUUUUCCAUGGUUGCCUUC
rnacentral:siRNA from 1 species